GUUAAGUUAGGGUUUUUCAAAAUGCUGACACGGCAAGCUCAAAAGGUUUGCCAUCACUGGUCUAAGCUAUAACCCAACUGGCUGUACACAGGAUCAGUGGCCAAGAUUCAGGUAUGAUCACCAACCAGACAGCUCGUCAAGCAGCCCAGGUAGUGUCAGUGGAUGGUUGGGUGGAAGCUGCCAUCUGGGUAGAGGGAUUACCCUGGCUGAGCUGUUGGUGUCCCAGGGCCCAGCUGGAAGUUCUCCUCUUCUUUUUGCAGGUUGCAGAGGUUGACACAGGGAUAGGAGCAGCAGUAUUUGGAGGGUAGUACUCCUAUGCUGCAGGAAUACUCGCCAUGUGGUCAGCAUAGGAGUCUGAGCCGUGGCAGAUGCAGUUCAGUGGAACAUGUUGUCAAUCCAGUUCUUGAUGGGAAGGGAAGUUCUGUAACUGGCUUCUCUUUGGAGGAAAAGUUAUCUUAAACUGCUUCAGAGGAUUCCAUGAAGAACAAUGCUUCAAGCCAUGGUUUUCAAAGUGUCGUUUGGGACCCCUGGAGGUUCAUCGGGCCAAGUUAUUUUAAGACAUCUGUUUCUACAGAUGACACCAGGAAGCUUCCGGACAUCCUCAUUCCAGAGUUGCUGAAACGAGGGGAAGAUGUGAAUACAAUGAACACAGUUCUCAAUAAGAAAACUGGACUUUGCAUUAGGGGUUGUAAAUAUCUUUCUCAGGCUGGUACUUUUAUUUUGACUAAUAUUUUUUUAUCAUCAAGAACGUUUACAUGUUCAUGUGGUCAAAUGUAUCAUUUUUUAAAUGUAUGGAGUAUGAAUUUUGUGUCUGGAGCUUCCCACAGAAAUAUUAUAGAAAAAAAGCCCAUACUUCCCAAGGAACAGUUUUUUGGGUUUUUUUUGGUCUUUUUUACUUUUAAAUUUGUGAUCUAGGGUAUAGGACAUAGGGUAUGUGUGUACGUUGUGUGUUCAGUAGAAUGUCUGAGGUAGAAUUUCAGCUUUUUCUCAAACUACCCAGGUUUUCCACUGUCAUCAUAUACUACUAAAUUUUCACAUCUGUGUUGGUUUAUUUUAUAGUUUAGCUUCCUUUCUUUUAUACACUGAUCUAUCUAUAUUCUCAGAAAGUAUAAUACAAUUAUCUUCUGUAGUGAAACUCUAUGAACUAUAAGUCUUACUGUAAUAUUAGUGGGCUUUCAAUUCUCCUUUUUCUUAAGUUUUCUGCCUUUUUGAGUGCUUUCCUCAUUAGUUGAAGUUACACUCACUUUAUUCUCUUUAUUGUCACAAUAUUGAAUUUACAUGAUUUAGAGAGUUGCAAUCUCUAGAAUACCAAUUUACUGUCUAAGAACAAUGAACUCAUUCUACUUAUUAAAAUCUCAUUCUAUGUUUUUAAACUUUCAAAUACAUAAGUCCUGUUCACUUAUAUUGUUAAAUUUAUCUCUCACUAUCUUACUAGUUUAUUGUCAUUGUGAAUAGGUUUUAUUUAACAUUUUCUAACUAGAUAUAAUGAGCAUAGAAAGAAGCUGCCGAUUUUGUAAACAUGCUGAUUACUCCAAAUUCUUCUUAGUUUUAAUAUUCUUUCCAGCUCAUUCUGGCUCCAAAGCAUAUACUCAAUUAUACUCUACUGCAUCCACAUCAAAUGCCUGCUCUCAUAGGUGCUUUCUCCUCCUGGAAUCUCUCCUCUUCUUCAGUCUUCUCCAGGUUAGCUUUAAUGUAAACAGCCACCGGCUGUGCGUUCCCUUUCAUGGCCUCUCUCUGGCCUUCUGUACUACACUGGUUUGCUCUUGUUUAUAGGUGGUCUGCAACUUUAAAUAUUACAUGUCUUGUAUUCCCAGCACCUAGUAAAGUGUGCAAUCUAUUGAAUGUGAUCAAUAAAUACCUAUUAAAUGAAAAAAAAAAACUAACACAAAGAAUAGAAAUUCAGUUUUAAGAGCCCUGGGUUCUAUAUCUUUGCAUUUUAUUAGUGGUUAGUACACUUCCCUGCACAUAAUAAAUACUCAAUAAAGGUGAACUACUG